AGAAAAGAGAGACUCUUGCGGCAAUAGAAAACAAAACGUAGCGUAAUCUUCUGCUUCAACUGUAGGUGGCUGGCCCCGAACAUGGCAAUGUAUCAUUCAUGCACGCUGAGCAAAGAACACAUCGUUUUGCUUCUAAGAGAACAGGCCGCCGCAGUUCAAAGGAACGCGUAGCGAGCGCUCUACUUUUUCACUCGGAGUGGCUCCACCGCGCGCGCGCGCGCUCAAGAUCGCGGAACAACACAGCACCGGAGAAAGUAGAUCCAUCCAGCGAGCAAAGGCCAGCCGAGGGAGAUCGUGUGGCAGCCAUCUCGCGUCGCCACGAAAACACGACAGUCGUUCGUCAUGCCUUGGAUAUAACAACAAAUCCUCCACGGCACCCGCUUUAUAUAACGCAAGAAGGCAGCUGCAAGGACACGAGGAUGUGAAAGAGCCAGUGCAGCGCGACUUCACGUAGUGUAGAGGAGCCAAUGCCAAAAAAUCAAAAUACAUUGGCAUGUUAUUUGGACAAGAAAACUGGGACAACCCAGGACGUGCAUUUCUCAGCACCCAGUCAACUGCCAAAAGUGACUCAAACACAGGCCACCAGCAAGUGGACAUCAGUUGCAAUUUCACAUUAUGCAGUUGGCAGCUGCCUUGUACGGAGGCUUUUUUUUUUAAUGAGAUGGUGAUGUCGUUCUAAUGUACAUUUUGACCACAAAGGUGCGAUCAUGUCUCACAGAGGCAUAUAUGGUUGCUAUUCUCUGCGAGGGACGUGUUCUCGUGUUCGUGAAGCAUUUGUGUUUGGCAGUAUUGUCGCCCAAUGAGUCGGAUAUAAACACUAACUCGCCACUGCCGGCAAGUAGUUGCGAGAAACGCAUUAUGACGCUGUAAAGUUAUUUCAUUAAUUCGAAGGAAAGUUUUGCAGCAGGAAAAAAGGUUG